rnacentral:rRNA from 1 species
GCGGCAACAGCUCAAAUUUGAAAUCUGGCCCCCAGGGCCCGAGUUGUAAUUUGCAGAGGAUGCUUUGGGCGCGGCGCCUUCCGAGUUUCCCUGGAACGGGACGCCACAGAGGGUGAGAGCCCCGUCUGGUUGGAUGCCUAGCCUAUGUAAAGCUCCCUCGACGAGUCGAGUAGUUUGGGAAUGCUGCUCUAAAUGGGAGGUAUAUGUCUUCUAAAGCUAAAUAUUGGCCAGAGACCGAUAGCGCACAAGUAGAGUGAUCGAAAGAUGAAAAGCACUUUGAAAAGAGGGUUAAAAAGUACGUGAAAUUGUUGAAAGGGAAGGGCUCUCGACCAGACUUGGGCUUGGGGAUCACCCGGCGUUCUUCGCCGGGGCACUCCCCCUGCCCAGGCCAGCAUCAGCUCGGCUCGGGGGACAAAGGCGGCGGGAACGUAGCUCCUCGGAGUGUUAUAGCCCGCCGUGUAAUACCCUGUGCCGGGCUGAGGACCGCGCUUCGGCUAGGAUGCUGGCGUAAUGGUUGACAGCCACCCGUCUUGAAACACGGACCAAGGAGUCGUCUUCGUAUGCGAGUGUUCGGGUGACAAACCCCUACGCGUAAUGAAAGUGAACGCAGGUGAGAGCUUCGGCGCAUCAUCGACCGAUCCUGAUGUUCUCGGAUGGAUUUGAGUAAGAGCAUACGGGGCCGGACCCGAAAGAAGGUGAACUAUGCCUGUAUAGGGUGAAGCCAGAGGAAACUCUGGUGGAGGCUCGCAGCGGUUUCUGACGUGCAAAUCGAUCGUCAAAUAUGGGCAUGGGGGBCGAAAGACUAAUCGAACCUUUCUAGUAGCUGGAUUCCGCGAAGU